ensembl:lncRNA
CCACUGUGACGUCACAGAAGAAGCAACCUAUAACGAUGGUGUAAAAUUCCAGAGCUUCAGCUAUUUACUAUUUUUGAGCUGUGUGAUGGAUACACAGACUAACUUUGUCGAAGAAAUUGUUAGUGAAUCGGUGGAAAAUCUACCACUGCGCCCCACGCGGCAUGCGGCAGGAACUGCAGGGGCCGGAGCUGGUGUUUCCACACGUGAUGAUGGAGAGAGACCCGAAAACACCCCGCACACAUCUCUCACCCAAGUGCCAUCUGAAGUUGAGCCUAAUAUGGAGGAGGCCAAACUGAAGGAGAAGGAGGACGGAGAGGAGAAGGAGGAGGUCAAACUGAAGGAGAAGGAGGAUGGAGAGGAGAAGGAGGAGGUCAAACUGAAGGAGAAGGAGGACGGAGAGGAGAAGGAGGAGGUCAAACUGAAGGAGAAGGAGGACGGAGAGGAGAAGGAGGAGGUCAAACUGAAGGAGAAGGAGGAUGGAGAGGAGAAGGAGGAGGUCAAACUGAAGGAGA